rnacentral:rRNA from 1 species
AUUGAACGCUGGCGGCAUGCCUUACACAUGCAAGUCGAACGGUAACAGGUCUUCGGAUGCUGACGAGUGGCGAACGGGUGAGUAAUACAUCGGAACGUGCCCAGACGUGGGGGAUAACGAGGCGAAAGCUUAGCUAAUACCGCAUACGAUCUAAGGAUGAAAGCAGGGGACCGCAAGGCCUGGUGCGUUUGGAGCGGCAGAUGGCAGAUUAGGUAGUUGGUGGGAUAAAAGCUUACCAAGCCGACGAUCUGUAGCUGGGCUGAGUGGACGACCAGCCACACUGGGACUGAGACACGGCCCAGACUCCUACGGUAGGCAGCAGUGGGGAAUUUUGGACAAUGGGCGAAAGCCUGAUCCAGCAAUGCCGCGUGCAGGAUGAAGGCCUUCGGGUUGUAAACUGCUUUUGUACGGAACGAAAAGGCUCUGGCUAAUACCUGGGGCACAUGACGGUACCGGAAGAAUAAGCACCGGCUAACUACGUG